rnacentral:lncRNA from 1 species
AUGCUUUCAUAAUGAGCUCCAGCCUGUCCAUUCCUUGCUUUGUGUCCCACACAGAACUCCCUGAACAGAGUCACCAAAUCCUCCCUCAGGUCAUGUUGCUCCCUAAUGCAAAUGAGUGACAGCUUCACCACCAGCUGAGGGAUCCUAGAGAGGAGCCCAGAAGAGUCUUGGUGGGCACCUCGGCUCCAUUUGGGCACAUAUACUCGGUGAUUCUCUGGUUCUCCUGUUCUGCCUCCAAGUCUGUCUACUUCCAUCCACUGUGUCAGUGUGACGAGCUCUCCUAUCUCUCCAUGGCUCUCCAUCACCUCUCUGAUGUGACUGUUUCCUCCUUUGUGCCAUCGGCAGCCUGGUCACACCCCCUCACUGCCUGUGUCCCAUCAUAUUGCAGGUGUUUGUUGUCAUGUCUGCUUUCCUGCAGAGCCAUGAGCUCCCCAUGGCUGGCCUUGGUCUCCCCUAUUUCUGCAUCACCCUCCUCUGGACCAUGGCCCUUAGAAGUGUGUGCUCAGUACUCUGGUGAGCUACUGAUUUUCUUUUUGAGCUACUGAUUUGAACCUGAGAAAUGCACUUUGGAUCAUGAGGGAGCCUGGUGUUGUGAUCCUCUGAUUACAAUGAAAACAUGUCCUUUUGAAUGGCAUGACCCUGAAGCCAAAGCCAGUGCUGGCCAGGGCAGGAGUGGGGUCACCCCUUCAGCUGCUGAGGCAAGCCCAGAGUGCUUACUGUCUACGAUAGCUCUGAUGCCUCCCUUACACACACGGUGUCCUUCAUACCCUGGGACCCCUAGUAUGGCUACCUCGACCCUCAUCUCUUUCAGGCAGCAGAACAAGGACCUGCAUCUUGGGGUCACUGUGCUGGGAAGGUCUCUCCUCCUGCACGGCUGGGACUUGGAGUCUUGAAUAGCCAAUUAGGUGUACCAUUCUCCUGUGAGCCCAAAUGGUCGGGAAACACUCCUCUCUGGGUCCAUCCGUGCUUGUCGUUCAUCUCCGAGCAACAGAGACUGAUCCACAAGUGGAAAAUGAUCACUGUGAAUAUAUUUCUGUCUCUGAAUAAAGAUCUGUUGGAGGUUGCUUUCAAAAAAAAUACCAAACUGAAAUGUGUUUGAAAAACUCAAGCAAGUCGAAAGUGUUUAGCCUGCAACAAGGAUGCUCAUGCUUCUCUGCUUAUUCCAAACACUGCCCCUCUUCUGUGAGAGUCUGGAGUUUCCACCACUUCAACUGUUGGAGUAAAGGUGGCCUUGGGUACAUGUGUUUUAAUUAAUUUGUUUUUUUUCUCUUACAAGAAUAUGAUCA